UGAGGAAUAUUGCGCAAUGGGGGCAACCCUGACGCAGCAACGCCGCGUGAGUGAGGAAGGUUUUCGGACCGUAAAGCUCUGUCGAGCGGGAAGAAAUGCAUGGUGGCUAAUAUCCAUCAUGCUUGACGGUACCGCUAAAGGAAGCACCGGCUAACUCCGUGCCAGCAGCCGCGGUAAUACGGGGGGUGCGAGCGUUGUUCGGAAUUAUUGGGCGUAAAGAGCGUGUAGGCGGCUGAAUAAGUCAGAUGUGAAAUCCCUGGGCUUAACCAGGACGUGCAUUUGAAACCAUUCGGCUAGAGUAGGGGAGAGGAAAGUGGAAUUCCUGGUGUAGAGGUGAAAUUCGUAGAUAUCAGGAGGAACACCGGUGGCGAAGGCGACUUUCUGGCCCUAUACUGACGCUGAGACGCGAGAGCGUGGGUAGCAAACA
rnacentral:rRNA from 1 species